rnacentral:rRNA from 1 species
CCUACGGGAGGCAGCAGUGAGGAAUAUUGGUCAAUGGACGCAAGUCUGAACCAGCCAUGCCGCGUGCAGGAUGACGGCUCUAUGAGUUGUAAACUGCUUUUGUACGAGGGUAAACCCCGAUACGUGUACCGGGCUGCAAGUAUCCUACGAAUAAGCAUCGGCUAACUCCGUGCCAGCAGCCGCGGUAAUACGGAGGAUCCGAGCGUUAUCCGGAUUUAUUGGGUUUAAAGGGUGCGUAGGCGGUUGGUUAAGUCAGAGGUGAAAUUCCCCCGCUCAACGGGGUGAAGUGCCAUUGAUACUGCCUGGCUGGAAUGCGGAUGCCGUGGGAGGAAUGUGUGGUGUAGCGGUGAAAUGCAUAGAUAUCACACAGAACACCGAUUGCGAAGGCAUCUCACGAAUCCGCGAUUGACGCUGAUGCACGAAAGCGUGGGUAUCAAACAGGAUUAGAUACCCUGGUAGUC